UACGGAGGGUGCAAGCGUUAUCCGGAAUCACUGGGUUUAAAGGGUGCGUAGGCGGCUUGGUAAGUCAGAGGUGAAAGCUUCCCGCUUAACGGGAGAACUGCCUUUGAUACUGCCAGGCUUGAAUCGGCACGAGGCAGGCGGAAUGUGACAUGUAGCGGUGAAAUGCUUAGAUAUGUCAUAGAACACCGAUUGCGAAGGCAGCCUGCCAGAGCCGCAUUGACGCUGAGGCACGAAAGCGUGGGGAGCGAACAGG
rnacentral:rRNA from 1 species